ensembl:lncRNA
UGUCUUUUCUGGGCUGCGUGUCCCAAGAGCCAAUGAGUACCUGCCUCGGGGGCCUGGACGGUCACGCGCCUUGGGGUCACUUCGAGGGCCCUGCCUUUUGUCACCCUCACAGCUCUGUCUUCUCGGAUCGCUUUCUGGUAAAAUGGGAGCGGGGUGGGGUGGGGACAUGAAAGCGUGACCCUGACGGAGUGCAUGGAUGCAGACCCCGCCGAGCUCUCCUCUGCUUAGGACACCUCACAAGAGUGGCGUCUGGGCCGGCCCUUGCAGGACUCAGGAAAGCAAACGACAGUGCUCCAGUCCCAACCAAGCUGCCAGUGGAUCUGUAGAGCCAGAGCCUGCUCUAUAGAUCUCAUGAUUUUAUUUCUGCUGUCCAUGACUUUCUCUCUGUGGCCUGAUAAGGUUACAGUACCGUGGUUUUAAUGAACAAGGAACUGAGGAUUUGAGGCCACAAGUCAGCCUCUAGAGUCUCUUCCAUGUGAGUACUGACUUAACGAGAGUACACUUAGUUUUGUCUGGUUUUUGGUGGAGUAUGCAGUUUUUGUAGUGUAGACAGCUUAAGUAAAUUAAUAGAUAAGCAAUUAUGUUAUAAAGGACCAUACAGGAGAGGUGUACUGUGAUAGCAAAUAGUGAGCCAAGCUAUAUAAAAUGUGCUUUAAAUAAGGUAGUUUUUGCCAGGCGUUGGUGGCAAUCGCCUUUAAUCCCAGCACUAGGGAGACAGAGGCAGGCGGAUCUCUGUGAGUUCGAGACCAGCCUGGUCUACAAGAGCUAGUUCCAGGACAGCCUCCAAAGCCACAGAGAAACCCUGUUUUGAAAAACCAAAAUAAAAAAAAAAAAGGUAGUUUAAGUCUUUUUUUAAACUAGUAAUGGUUCUGGGACCCUGACCCUUCUAUCACCAGUUCCCCACAUCCCACCCUAGUUUCUUGAGAAUACGGCAUAAUUUCCUUUGGAGGAGAAUCUUGUUUUUCCCACAUUCUCAAAGCCAUCCCCAUGUUACUUUAGAUCCCUCCCUCCCAAAUCAGGCUCUGAGAUGAAAUAUGAGUGCAAAGUUUUUUAAGGGGGUGACCUCAGUGGGCACUCUAAAGAAUGGAAGCCUUUCUGGGAGGUGGUGGCGCACGCCUUUAAUCCCAGCACUUGGAAAGCAGAGACAGCCUAUCUCUGAGUUUGAGGCCAGUCUGGUUCCAGGACAUCCAGGGCUGCUCAGAGAAACUCUGUCUUGAAAACACAUCUCAGAGUUGUUCUAUUAAGAGACCAGAGACAAGGAAGAGAAGGGGCUAAGAGUGUGGCUCAUUGGUAGACUUCUCGUUAGCCUGGCUUUCAUGAAGGCCCAUCCUGAGGCACAUACAGGAGGAGAGAAAAAGAAAAGAUAGAUAUUAACCAGGAAUGUCUUAGUCCUUACAGUGUUAGCUCCCCUGCAUGCUUCCCCACCUCAGUGCCUGGGAAGGGAGAGAACACACAGACAAGUCACAGAUGUGUUUCAUGUACCAAGACUCAAGGCAAAUUGGGCAACAGACCCAAAGAAUGUUACCAACGUUACAAAGCCUCUAGCACCAUGUAUCACUGGACUGAGAAACUGGUUGUGAAAGCGUGUUCAUGCCCUUGCUCACUUAAGCAGCCUCCUGGCUUGAGUUUUGCCAUUAGCACCUUUAGAAUAGAGAGAAAAAGACAGAUUUCAAGACCAGUGCUGUCUUGGGUAACCAUGAGCAGGUAAUUAUGUAGUUAUAGUAAUUCAAGUUUUAUAGACUUUUUAAAUAAAAGAAACUGCUUUUGAAGUCUAGAAAUUAGUGGGCACCCCCUGUGAGGAACCUGAUUUUUUUUUUCUUCUUCCUUGGCAAUACAAGAGAGAUGGAACCUACAACUUCACACAUCCUAAGCAAGGGCUGAACCACUGAGCUACAGCCCUGUUAUGGGAUAUUCCUUUAUGCUGUGUGAAGAAGACUGUGAUUGGUUUGAUAAAGAACUAAACUGCCCAUAGCUAGCUAAGAAGGAAUUGUAGGCAGGACUGCCAGACAGAGCUCUGGGAAGAAGAAAGGGGAAGUCACCAACUAGACACAGAGCAAGAUGGGUAGUGCAAAGUAAAGGUAACCAAGCCACGUAAAAACACAGAUUUAAAAAUAUGGGUUAAUUUGCCACGCGGUGGUGGUGCACGCCUUUAAUCUCAGCACUCGGGAGUCAGAGGCAGGUGGAUCUCUGUGACUUAGAAGCCAGCCUGAUCUACAGAACGAGUUCCAGGACACCCAGGAUUGGUAUAUAGAGAAACCUUGUUAUAAGAACUAGUUAGAGGACUGGAGAGAUGGCUCAGCAGUUAAGAGCACUAGCUACUCUUGCAGAGGACCUGAGUUCAAUUCCUAGCAACCACAUGGUGGAUCACAACCAUCUAUAGUGGGAUAUUGCCCUCUUCUGGCAUGAAGUUGUACAUGCAGACAGAACACUUUUAUACAUAAAAAAAAAAAAAAAUUAAUAAGAACUAGUUAGGAACAAACCUAAGCUAAGACCAAGCUUUCAUAAUAAUAAGCCUCCAUGUCAUGGUUUGUCUGCUGAUGGUCCAAAAAAGCUUGCUACACAGCCCAACCCCUCUGAAAGAUUUUUUUUUUUCAAGACAGGGUUUCUCUAUGUAGCUUUAGAACCU